CUACGCUAUGGGCUCUCAGAGCAUCUCCAACUCAACGUGGAGGAAUCUGGUGCCGCCAAGAAUGGGGUGACAAUGGGAUCGCACACACGCAGAGGCAGAUGCCUGGACUGUGCGUACUGAUUCCUGCUGGGCCCCUGGCUGAUUCUGCUACGCAACCAAUGCGGCCCGCGUACCCACUCCCACUCGAGACCCUGAAGGACUGUGUGGAUGGAAAAGCUCAAACUCCGAGUCCAGAUCCUAACAGCUAAUGCUAUUGAGUACUUCCAUAUGCUGAUUACUGUGCAAGUUGCCUUCCACAUUAUUCCAUGGAAUCUUCACAAAAUCUCUAGAGGGGAACUAAAACGUGACUAUUGGAAUUACAGGAGUGGAGGAAAAUCGAGGAGAUGUUUUGAAAGCCAAGGGCGAAUCUAGCAGACAUGUAGCAAAUUGACCUCUGUAACAAUCAAGGAGACAACAGAAGGAAAGUAAGCACUAAUUGGGCUCCAGUUCUGUCUCAAGCGCUCUGCUGGACUAGGUUGCCAUGGUUGGUAAAUAAAACAGUCUUUGGGACCCUGA